GUGCUCACUUCAGCCAGUGCAUAUACUAAAAAUCGGAAUGAUAAGAGGAAGAUUAGCAUGCACCUACACAAGGUUGACACACAAAUUCAUGAAGCAUCCAUAUUAAAA
rnacentral:snRNA from 1 species